rnacentral:tRNA from 13 species
CGCUCCGGGUGGGCUCGAACCACCAACAUUUCGGUUAACAGCCGAAUGCGCUAGCCGAUUGCGCCACGGAGGC